rnacentral:rRNA from 1 species
UACAGAGGGGGCAAGCGUUGUUCGGAAUUACUGGGCGUAAAGCGCGCGCAGGCGGCUAUCCAAGUCAGUGGUGAAAGCCCGGAGCUCAACUCCGGAACUGCCAUUGAAACUGUUUAGCUUGAGGACGAGAGAGGUGAGUGGAAUUCCCAGUGUAGAGGUGAAAUUCGUAGAUAUUGGGAAGAACACCGGUGGCGAAGGCGGCUCACUGGCUCGUUUCUGACGCUCAGGCGCGAUAGCGUGGGGAUCAAACAGG